rnacentral:rRNA from 1 species
AUUGAACGCUGGCGGCGUGCUUGACACAUGCAAGUCGAUCGGUAACAGGUGUAGCAAUACAUGCUGACGAGAGGCGGACGGGUGAGGAAUAUUUGGGAAUCUGCCCAUCAGCGGGGGACAACCCGGGGAAACCCGGGCUAAUACCGCAUACGCUCUACGGAGGAAAGCCGGGGACCGCAAGGCCUGGCACUGAUGGAUGAGCCCAAAUCGGAUUAGCUAGUUGGCGGGGUAACGGCCCACCAAGGCGACGAUCCGUAGCUGGUCUGAGAGGACGCUCAGCCACACCGGAACUGAGACACGGUCCGGACUCCUACCGGAAGCAGCAGUGGGGGAUCUUGAACAAUGGGGGAAACCCUGAUCCAGCGACGCCGCGUGGGUGAAGGAGGCCUGCGGGUUGUAAAGCCCUUUCGGUAGGGACGAAAGCUCUUGCUCUAAUAAUGCAAGAGGUUGACUUAACCUACAUAAGAAGCACCGGCUAACUCUGUGCCAGCCGCCGCCGUAA